rnacentral:lncRNA from 1 species
CUGCCUGCCAGUCUUGAGUAUUCUCUAUCCUCCUCAAUUACUCAGAUCCUAAGGAAAGGUAGAAAGCUGACCUGACAGAACAAAGUUCUUCCUCCUUAAGCUGUGGGGACUUGGAGGCUGUGAGUUCAUCCGUGAAACAAGGCCCUAGUGCAGCAAGGGACAGCUGGAAGCAGGUGUCUGGCCUUGGGGGAGCCAAAGCAGGUGGUGGGGACCUACAGGGACCCAGGGGAGGGCUCCAUAAGAGCUUCCAGCAGGGCCUGAGGGGGCAGGUGGGGUCCUCGAUGUGGGCCAGUUGCCUAGGGAGGAGGUGCACCCAUAAGGAAGCGUGUCCCUCUGGAAGCACAGCUCCCGUGUUGCCGGUGGGUGUGGGCGUGGCCAUGAGGAUGGCAGAGGUGAGCUGGGCAGGGAGAGGAUGCGUGUGCUUGACCCAACUGCCAAGGAACUGGCGUUUCUCUUUCACGGAAGCUGUGACGGCUCUUCGUUCCCUACUGGAUCCAGUUCUGCCUUCUUAUUCUGACUCCGGGUCCCUCCAUCAUCCGGCUCCGGGUGUGAUUACCCAUGCCACAGGGCUGCUACACGACUGAGUUCAUAUCUAUAAAGGGCUCGGAACAGUGCUUGCCAAUGAGCCACACUGUGUCGCACAACCCGAAGCAACACAUAAAUCAAAUAAGCCAAUAACUGGCACUGUGGAACACAGGCAUUCACCGCCGCCAGAACACACUCAGUUUUCCUGCCUUUGCUCCUCGGCCCCCUCCUGCCCCACAGGCUUCUCAAGUCCUGAUCCCUCCUAUGGGGUGCAGCUCACUCUGCCCUGAGUCCUUCCCAAACUGCCUCCUCUCUCCCGUUUCCGAGCUGCCUGGUGUGUGGCCGAUGUGGUACAUCUGGCGCUGAGUUCUGCCCACCAGGACAGACGACGGGAGAGCCGGGCCUGGACUCUCCCUGAGUUCCGGGCAGGUUUCCUCUGGUCUUGCUUCUCUCCAGCUUGAAGUUGUUGCUUCCUGUUUCCCAGAGUCCUUGGCUUUUCUGACCCAUUUCUUUUCCUGGGCUGACAAAGUUUACUACUGUCUUCUUCAGCACUGUUUGUCAUUUCAUGAGACAGCAAGUGAAGGCAGUUAAAGCCCAGGGCCACCAACUUUGCUGCCCUUUCUCCUUGACACCAACAGAGACUGACAGGGACCAGCACGGGACCAACAUGGGACCAGCAGAGGAUCAACGCAGGAUCAACACAGAACCAACAUAGGACCAAUACAGGGUCAACACAGGACCGACAUGGGACCAACACAGGGUCAACACAGGACCAACACGGGACCAACACAGGACCAACAUAGGACCAACACAGGGUCAACACAGGACCGACAUGGGACCAACACAGGGUCAACACAGGACCAACACGGGACCAACACAGGGUCAACACAGGACCAACACAGGACCAACAUAGGACCAACACAGGGUCAACACAGGACCAACAUAGGACCAACACAGGGUCAACACAGGACCAACAUGGGACCAACACAGGGU